GCUCAAGUAGCUUACCAUUAAAGCAUUGUUUUUGUAAACCAAAGCCGGACACCAGUCCCUAGAGCA
rnacentral:tRNA from 1 species